CGAGUUGGCCGGGCGGCCGCGGCAGAGGGAACCGGACGCACCUUCGGGUGUGCCCAGGCCUUCGGCCGAGGAAAGUCCGGACUCCACAGAGCAGGGCGGUUGCUAACGGCAACCCGAGGUGACUCGCGGGACAGUGCCACAGAAAACAGACCGCCUCUCGCGGCCUUCGGGCCGUGGGAGGUGAGGGUGAAACGGUGCGGUAAGAGCGCACCAGCAUCCCGGGUGACCGGGAUGGCUAGGUAAACCCCGCCCGGAGCAAGGUUGAAGGCCGCAUCGACGUCUGGCGUCGGUGCGACUGCGCAGGUGUUCGAGGGCUGCUCGCCCGAGCCUGCGGGUGAACCGCUCGAGGUACCCGGCGACGGUGUGCCCAGAUGGAUGGUCGCCGCCCGACCUUUCGGUCGGGCACAGGAUCCGGCUUACACGCCAACUCGUCCG
rnacentral:RNase_P_RNA from 1 species